rnacentral:rRNA from 1 species
AGAGUUUGAUCCUGGCUCAGAUUGAACGCUGGCGGCAGGCCUAACACAUGCAAGUCGAGCGGAAACAGAAAGUAGCUUGCUACUUUGCUGUCGAGCGGCGGACGGGUGAGUAAUGCCUAGAUAUCUGCCUAGUCGUGGGGGAUAACAGCUGGAAACGACUGCUAAUACCGCAUACGCCUACGGGGAAAGGAGGGGACUCCGGGCCUUCCGCCGAUUAGAUGAGUCUAGCNGGGGANNANCUANUAGGGUGACGNANUGNGUCACCUAGGNGACNANCCCCUAGCUUGUCUUCAAGAGGNUCACAAGCCANACNCGGANAUG